rnacentral:tRNA from 1 species
CCUGGUGGCUCAAAGGUUAAAGUGUCUGCCUGGAAUGCGGGAGACCCGGGUUCAAUCCCUGGGUCAGGA